rnacentral:rRNA from 1 species
GAUGAACGCUGGCGGCGUGCCUAAUACAUGCAAGUCGAGCGAACGGACGAGAAGCUUGCUUCUCUGAUGUUAGCGGCGGACGGGUGAGUAACACGUGGAUAACCUACCUAUAAGACUGGGAUAACUUCGGGAAACCGGAGCUAAUACCGGAUAAUAUUUUGAACCGCAUGGUUCAAAAGUGAAAGGCGGUCUUGCUGUCACUUAUAGAUGGAUCCGCGCUGCAUUAGCUAGUUGGUAAGGUAACGGCUUACCAAGGCAACGAUGCAUAGCCGACCUGAGAGGGUGAUCGGCCACACUGGAACUGAGACACGGUCCAGACUCCUACGGGAGGCAGCAGUAGGGAAUCUUCCGCAAUGGGCGAAAGCCUGACGGAGCAACGCCGCGUGAGUGAUGAAGGUCUUCGGAUCGUAAAACUCUGUUAUUAGGGAAGAACAUAUGUGUAAGUAACUGUGCACACCUUGACGGUACCUAAUCAGAAAGCCACGGCUAACUACGUG